rnacentral:ncRNA from 4 species
UGUAAACAUCCUUGACUGG